rnacentral:rRNA from 1 species
AGCUAAUAGAUACCCCGGUAGUCCACGCCGUAAACGAUGGAUGCUAGCUGUUUGAGGUAUCGACCCCUCAUGUAGCGAAAGCUAACGCGUUAAGCAUCCCGCCUGUGGAGUACGGUCGCAAGACUAAAACAUAAAGGAAUUGACGGGGACCCGCACAAGCGGUGGAGCGUGUUGUUUAAUUCGAUGGUAAGCGAAGAACCUUACCCAGGCUUGACUUCCUCGGAAUUUUGGCGAAAGCCGAGAGUGCCUUCGGGAACCGAGUGACAGGUGUUGCAUGGCCGUCGUCAGCUCGUGUCGUGAGAUGUUUGGUUAAGUCCAUCAACGAGCGCAACCCUUAUAGUUAGUUGGAUUUUUCUAGCUAGACUGCCCUGGCAACAGGGAGGAAGGAGGGGACGAUGUCAGGUCAGUAUUACCCUUACGUCUGGGGCUACAAACACGCUACAAUGGCCGGUACAAAGGGCAGCCAAGUCGCGAGACGGAGCAAAUCCCAUCAAAGCCGGUCCAAGUUCGGAUUGCAGGCUGAAACUCGCCUGCAUGAAGCUGGAA